ensembl:lncRNA
UAGCCUGAAGCCUGAAAUUCAGUUUCAUUCUUCGUAUUAUUGGUGCCUGCCUGAGGAAGAAGUAACAAGGUUCAGUAAGGCUUUGCCCAACAGAAUAAAGAAUGGUGAAAGUAUUUUUCGUCCUUGCUGGAAACACUCAGAACACCCAGGCACAGUUUUGGCAGCGCCUGGUCAGAAGAGGUACCAAUGCGGUGAAAGUGGCCAACAUUAGAGACUGUGAUGUGACCCUCACAUUCUGUCCAAUCGUCUCACGAGUUGGAACUGAUGUAGAGGCAGCCGUCCAGCUGAUCCCAACAACUAGACCUGGAGUCCUGGUUUGACUGCACCCAACCUUUAACCCAGAGGAAAUCGUCCCAGACGCCAGCAGAUUUGUACGCCGUGCUGACAUCCUAACUGUCAACUGCUUGUUCCACGAGAGCGAGCUACUGAACAGUGACUGCAAUGACAAAGCGUGUGAAAGUGUUUCCCGUUACUUAAUGCACUUCCAGAGGGGAACUGCCUCUCAAAGCCCAUACCAUCAUGUUGUCUACGAUCUUCCUUGUCCAACUCAGAAUCAAAACCAUGGUUGCCUUUAUUCAAUAUCACCAAAACUUCACAAGUAUCGCGUACCGCUGAUAGCUUGCAUAGUAUUAUUUUUUAUAUCGAUUUUCAUCUGGAUUAUGACAUUGCUCUAAAACAAGCGCCAUUAAGGACGUCUCAUUUUGUUAAAUUCUCUCAGAGGACCUGAGGAAUGAGAUGAGAUGUGAAGAAACAGUGGACCGUUUCAAUUGGAAUGCCUGACAUAUGGUCAGAGGUGGAUUCUUCCCUCCUCUUUACAUCUGUCAACCUACAAUUUAAAAUAACAUGUAGUGGUUUAUGAACAAAAAUAAAAUAUUAGUCAAACCAAGAAAACAUCUUCAUACUCUUGAAUCAUACUCAAAUAUGGCAACUUUAACAACACAUACACGAUUGUGUUGCCUACAGGAUUGUGUUUAAAAAAUAAUAUACUUAUACAUAUGCCUGUUGUGCUACUAACUUGUGAGAAGGUGAAUUCUCCCCCUCCUAACCGUGGCAAAAAGGGAUGGUGCCCUUUAAGACUUUUGGACUCCCCCACCAUAAUGGUUGGGUCUGGGCUCCCCUGCUUCCAUGGUGGACCUAAUUAAGCCCAAGUGGCUGUGCCCUAUUUAAAGGCUGCCUCAUUUGUAGAGAGGGAGAGACUGUUUGUGAGAGGCAUGAGACCACUGACAGAGAGGUAUGAAGAUAAAACACUUUCCUUUUUACCGGUGUGAAGGAAGGGUUUUGUGUCUAGUUGUGUGGAUACUGUGUCUUUGUGCCUUGUCUUUGUGUCUUGUAUAUUGUGCCUGUUUUGGUGUGCUUGUUUUGUGUGCUUUGUUUGGUACGGCUAGCUAUGUACUUAGCUUCGGGCUGAGUGCCGGGGCCUAGCUUGGGCCUGGAGAGGGUGCCGAUAUUUGGGCCUAAUCGGCCAAGCAGGUGCCUAGGGUUACUUAAGUCCCGGUAAGUACGGCCUGUAUCGGUUAUCUGUUUGAUUUAUAUGUGUUUAUGUUGUGUGCACGG